rnacentral:rRNA from 1 species
UACGGAGGGUGCGAGCGUUGUCCGGAAUCACUGGGCGUAAAGGGCGCGUAGGCGGUUUGUCAAGCGUGCGGUGAAAGCCUGGGGCUCAACCCCAGGUCUGCCGUGCGAACUGGUGAACUCGAGCACUGUAGAGGCAGGUGGAAUUUCGGGUGUAGCGGUGGAAUGCGUAGAGAUCCGAAAGAACACCGGUGGCGAAGGCGGCCUGCUGGGCAGUAGCUGACGCUGAGGCGCGACAGCGUGGGGAGCAAACAGG